GGCGAGGAGAAAUGACAUUACAUACCGUGAAGGCGCGAUGCAGAAAAAGCUCUUGAGCUUCGAGCGACGCUUCGCGCCCGUCGACGACACCACACCAGUCGACUACACAGCAGCGCCGUCGUCGACGACUGCAAAAAACUGCUUGAAAAGCUUCAGGCUGCCUAGCUCGAAUGAUCGCUCGGAUCCAAGGAUACCGUCGUAGAUUUAUUCGAGUCGAGAGGAACACCGAGUUAUCGAUCUUAUCGCAUUACAAAGGGAUGCUAUGUAUUAUGCUUAUUAUUUUUCUCUAAAC
rnacentral:misc_RNA from 1 species